AAGACUAUACUUUCAGGGAUCAUUGCUAUAGCUCGUUACUAGAGAAGUUUCUCUGAACAUGUAGAGCACCAGAAACCAUAAGUAGGGAGUGCAGUGUUCUUUCCUGAGCCUGAAGCCGGCUCUUGGUGUUGCUUAGCUGCAACUGCCAUUUGUCAUUGAUAAUUGCUCUUCUCUACCUCUGGGGGAGUAAAAGGGAGAGGAGGCAGACUGAGUAGG
ensembl:snoRNA U3 Small nucleolar RNA U3